rnacentral:rRNA from 1 species
AUACGGAGGACGCGAGCGUUAUCCGGAUUCAUUGGGUUUAAAGGGUGCGCAGGCGGCCGUGCAAGUCAGCGGUGAAAGCCCGGGGCUCAACCCCGGAAGUGCCGUUGAUACUGCAUGGCUGGAAUGCGGUCGAGGCGGGCGGAACGUGGCGUGUAGCGGGGAAAUGGGUAGAUAUGCCACGGAAAGCCGAUAGCGGAGGCAGCUCGCCAGGCCUGCAUUGACGCUCGGGCACGAAAGCGUGGGGAUCGAACAGGAUUAGAUACCCUGGUAGUCCACGCCGUAAACGAUGGGCGCUCGUCGUCGGCGGCAGACAGUCGGCGGCCAAGCGAAAGCGAUAAGCGCCCCACCUGGGGAGUACGGUCGCAAGGCUGAAACUUAAAGGAAUUGACGGGG